CUCACGAGCUGAUUGGAGUCACAACUCGUUUUUAAGAUUGCAGUGGGGGAAGUCACCAAGAUGUGGAAAUGUCAGGGAGUUUUGUGCAGCAAAGGGAUCGGUGUGUAUUAUGCAAUUCUGGAAAGCAGCCCUCGCACUCAUGCUCGGGAUGAAUUGCAUGCCUAGCCCGGGGAGAGCAGUUCCCCAGAAGAGCCAUGCAGACGCUUUUUGUAUAAAAUCACACCACCCCUUCAGGGAAAAAAAAAAAAAAAAAUUAAAAAAUCAGCACGGCCACAGCAGAGAAAAAGGCAGGUUGCGCCUUUGGAGAGACGGAGAAGAAGCCUGCUCUCCCGCCCAGGAAAUCCACGGGCUCCGGUUUACAAAGAGCCGCCCCGCAGUCCCGGCUCCAGCCCCGUGCGCUGCCGCAGGGAGGGCUCAUCCCUCUCAACCCUCAACCUGGUGCCGGCCGCGAUGCCGACCCCGCCGGGCAGGGGACGGGGGGUCCCGCCGCGCCGCCCCACCGCGGACCCGCUGCCCCGGAGGGUGCGAGGACGCGCCGGUCCCCUGCCCCCCAUCCCUCCCCGCCGGGAACACACGCACGGCGGAGCAGGAAACUGAAGAACUAUGAAAAGAAGAGCUCACUAAAAAGACUACUGAAAUAAUAGAAAACUUCCCACAGUUUACGCAGCAUUAAACAUGGCCUUUGUUGAUGGAUCCUGAAGAAUCUGGCCCUUUAUUUUUUCUUUUUCUUAAUUUGAAGAAGGAAAAUGGAAAGGAAGAUGUUUCAUGCCUGAUUUCUUGUCCAUUUAUUUUAUUUUUUUCUCCAGAGGUCUUCCCAUGGAUCACCAAUAAACAUUCAAGAAAACACAUAAGUGAAAUUAAA